rnacentral:tRNA from 1 species
AAUUAGAAAGCGAAUAAUUGCAUUUAGUUUCGACCUAAAUCUUGGCGUCUUAGCCUCUAAUUA